AUUGAACGCUGGCGGCAGGCCUAACACAUGCAAGUCGAACGAAGUCUUCGGACUUAGUGGCGGACGGGUGAGUAACACGUGGGAACGUAUCUUUUGGUUCGGAACAACUCAGGGAAACUUGAGCUAAUACCGGAUGAGCCCUUAGGGGGAAAGAUUUAUCGCCGAAAGAGCGGCCCGCGUUAGAUUAGCUAGUUGGUGAGGUAAAGGCUCACCAAGGCUACGAUCUAUAGCUGGUCUGAGAGGAUGAUCAGCCACACUGGGACUGAGACGCGGCCCAGACUCCUACGGGAGGCAGCAGUGGGGAACCUUGCGCAAUGGGCGAAAGCCUGACGCAGCCAUGCCGCGUGAAUGAUGAAGGUCUUAGGAUUGUAAAAUUCUUUUACCAGGGACGAUAAUGACGGUACCUGGAGAAAAAGCCCCGGCUAACUUCGUGCCAGCCGCCGCAGUAACAC
rnacentral:rRNA from 1 species